AGAGCCUCAAAGAGCACCCAGCAUAACUGUGGGAGAAUAGUAAGCAUUGGACACAAAAUGGUUUAGGCAAAUAAUGAUGAACAAAAAUGGUCAGUCUGUGUUCCUGCUGACCCAGCACAGUGGGGACGCUGUGUAGGACAUGACCUUUGGGGGAAAGGACACAAGAACUCAGCGUGGGGGAUCCAGAAAAGAAGUCGCACGUAUUGAAGCCAGUAACGCCAAGCCAGUGAAUUCUCCUUGACGAGAAAGACCCACUUACUCUGCAGAAGAGAUAUAUGACAGCUGACAAUCCCUGGAGGAGAAUCUUUCUACUAAAUUGUUGAAAACAUUCAAGUACGGAAUAAACUAUUACUGCGAAUACGCUCAUAUGACACAAGAACAAUCUCUGAGCUUCUUUGAGGAUGUCCAGAUGACUGCUGACUGCACUAAUUGCAUCAAUCGUGUAUCCAUACAGGUUCUUUCUAUAAAAUAGUGGUCGCUAGUUAUGAGGCGUUAAGCCUUCAUGGAUAUAAACAGACUAUUCCACCUAAGUGAUCUGGCAGAAGCUUAGUUUUCUACCACAACAUCCACCGUCCUCCCUCCCUCCCUUCCUAGCUGGUCAGAAAAGCUACUCAGAAUAAAGACUACAUUUCCCAGCCAUCUUUGCAGCUAGGUUUAUCCACCUGACUAAAUUCCACCGGCAUCUAUUCAACGAAGACGAAUCCUGGAAUGGGGAUGGAAAUGAUGGCUCAUGUCUUAGCAAACUACCAAACUGAUCCGAGAGGACAGGGAAGUCAGUGUGGGCGGCUCUAAGGAGCCUCCCUCUCUACAGCUGCGGCUCAGAGGAUUACGGCGCUUCAUCCACAAGGCAACAUUGCACAAGUAGCUUUUGAACAAAAGUCAUGGAUACUAUUAAUGAUAUGUUCCCACACACAUUUAGUGUCGUCUCAAAAUUCACGCUGUCAACUGUCUCUAGGAAUCAUUUCCAUCUGAGAACAGACCACACAAAGACACAGUGAAACUCAGUUUCUGCAGAAUUUGAUUUCAUUUGAGUUACUGGGGAACAAAGCAAUUAGACAAUGAAUAAUAGCUCAAGACAGGCUGAAGCUGAAGAUUUCUGCAAAAGAAUGAAGAGGAAACGUUUUGAUCCUGAGCAGAUGUUCUCCCUAGAUUGCUUCACCUGAGGUUGAUUGACUUUUGGAAACGAGAUUUGUUCCCAGUGCUUUGUGAGUCUCUUGUUGGAAGGACUGUCUUUAAAUUAAAGCAAUUAGAGUUACUUUAUAAGAUUUACCCAAAUAUAAGAGCUGAAGAGAAUAAUUCAAAUUGAUCAGAAGAAAAUACUCAAUUACUGACAAAUGUCAAUUACAUCAAUAGCCUAGGCUGCUCUUGAACUCCUGGGCUCAAACGAUCCUCCCCUGUCGGCCUCCCAAAGUGCUGGGAUUACAAGCUUGAACCACCAUGCCCAGCCUCAGAAAUUUUUUAAAUGACAGCUCAUACAGUUUUCUUUUAUAAAGGAGGAGAAAAUGUGUAAUUGUAAGCAGCUGAACUAAAAUAUCUCUGUGACAUUUUGCUGGUGACUCCAGCCCUGUGAGAUCUGAGUGGCUCAGGAAUCAAAUUCUCCCACAAACCUGAGGAAGCCUUUUAUUCUUAAUGCCAACAGGAUGCCCCAUGCCCAGAAUGUCAAAUCUGAACACCAAUGGAAUGCAUUUUAUAAACAAAUUGAAAAAGGACAAUCUUUAACAGAAUUGUUGUUCUCUAGGCAGAUUAGUUGUGCUUCAAAUACAAAAUGAAAUAUUAGAGAACAAAAUUAUUUUUAAACAGCUAAUACUAGUAGAAAAUAAAAGGCUGAAAAGUGC
rnacentral:lncRNA from 1 species